rnacentral:rRNA from 1 species
CGGAGGAUCCAAGCGUUAUCCGGAAUCAUUGGGUUUAAAGGGUCCGUAGGCGGUCUUGUAAGUCAGUGGUGAAAGCCCAUCGCUCAACGGUGGAACGGCCAUUGAUACUGCAGGACUUGAAUUAUUAGGAAGUAACUAGAAUAUGUAGUGUAGCGGUGAAAUGCUUAGAUAUUACAUGGAAUACCAAUUGCGAAGGCAGGUUACUACUAAUUGAUUGACGCUGAUGGACGAAAGCGUGGGGAGCGAACAGGAUUAGAUACCCUGGUAGUCCACGCCGUAAACGAUGGAUACUAGCUGUUGGGGGCAACUUCAGUGGCUAAGCGAAAGUGAUAAGUAUCCACCUGGGGAGUACGUUCGCAAGAAUG